GACGAACGCUGGCGGCGUGCUUAACACAUGCAAGUCGAACGGAAAGGCCCUGCUUUUGUGGGGUGCUCGAGUGGCGAACGGGUGAGUAACACGUGAGUAACCUGCCCUUGACUUUGGGAUAACUUCAGGAAACUGGGGCUAAUACCGGAUAGGAGCUCCUGCUGCAUGGUGGGGGUUGGAAAGUUUCGGCGGUUGGGGAUGGACUCGCGGCUUAUCAGCUUGUUGGUGGGGUAGUGGCUUACCAAGGCUUUGACGGGUAGCCGGCCUGGGAGGGUGACCGGCCACAUUGGGACUGAGAUACGGACCAGACUCCUACGGGAGGCAGCAGUGGGGAAUAUUGCACAGUGGGCGGAAGCCUGAUGCAGCAACGCCGGGUGCGGGAUAACGGCCUUCGGGUUGUAAACCGCUUUCGCCUGUGACAAAGCGUGAGUGACGGUAAUGGGUAAAGAAGCACCGGCUAACUACGUG
rnacentral:rRNA from 1 species